rnacentral:rRNA from 1 species
CCUACGGGAGGCAGCAGUAGGGAAUCUUCCACAAUGGACGAAAGUCUGAUGGAGCAACGCCGCGUGAGUGAAGAAGGGUUUCGGCUCGUAAAGCUCUGUUGGUAGUGAAGAAAGAUAGAGGUAGUAACUGGCCUUUAUUUGACGGUAAUUACUUAGAAAGUCACGGCUAACUACGUGCCAGCAGCCGCGGUAAUACGUAGGUGGCAAGCGUUGUCCGGAUUUAUUGGGCGUAAAGCGAGUGCAGGCGGUUUAAUAAGUCUGAUGUGAAAGCCGUCGGCUCAACCGGAGAAUUGCAUCAGAAACUGUUGGACUUGAGUGCAGAAGAGGAGAGUGGAACUCCAUGUGUAGCGGUGGAAUGCGUAGAUAUAUGGAAGAACACCAGUGGCGAAGGCGGCUCUCUGGUCUGCAACUGACGCUGAGGCUCGAAAGCAUGGGUAGCGAACAGGAUUAGAUACCCUUGUAGUC